rnacentral:rRNA from 1 species
UACGUAGGGUGCGAGCGUUGUCCGGAAUUAUUGGGCGUAAAGGGCUCGUAGGCGGUUUGUCGCGUCGGGAGUGAAAACUCAGGGCUUAACCCUGAGCCUGCUUCCGAUACGGGCAGACUAGAGGUAUGCAGGGGAGAGCGGAACUCCUGGUGUAGCGGUGGAAUGCGCAGAUAUCAGGAAGAACACCGGUGGCGAAGGCGGCUCUCUGGGCCUUACCUGACGCUGAGGAGCGAAAGCGUGGGUAGCGAACAGG